rnacentral:rRNA from 1 species
CCUACGGGGGGCAGCAGUGAGGAAUAUUGGUCAAUGGGCGCGAGCCUGAACCAGCCAAGUCGCGUGAGGGAUGACUGCCCUACGGGUUGUAAACUUCUUUUAUAAGGGAAUAAAGUGAGGCACGUGUGCCGCUUUGUAUGUACUUUAUGAAUAAGGAUCGGCUAACUCCGUGCCAGCAGCCGCGGUAAUACGGAGGAUCCGAGCGUUAUCCGGAUUUAUUGGGUUUAAAGGGAGCGUAGAUGGGUUGUUAAGUCAGUGGUGAAAGUUUGCGGCUCAACCGUAAAAUUGCAAUUGAUACUGGCAGUCUUGAGUACAGUUGAGGUAGGCGGAAUUCGUGGUGUAGCGGUGAAAUGCUUAGAUAUCACGAAGAACUCCGAUUGCGAAGGCAGCUUACCAAGCUGCCACUGACAUUGAUGCACGAAAGCGUGGGUAUCAAACAGGAUUAGAUACCCGUGUAGUC